UACAGAGGAUGCAAGCGUUGUUCGGAUUCACUGGGCGUAAAGGGUGCGUAGGCGGUUUGGUAAGUCUGACGUGAAAUCUCCGGGCCUAACCCGGAAACUGCGUUGGAUACUAUCUGACUAGAGGAAUGGAAGGGAGACUGGAAUACUUGGUGUAGCAGUGAAAUGCGUAGAUAUCAAGUGGAACACCAGUGGCGAAGGCGAGUCUCUGGACUUCUCCUGACGCUGAGGCACGAAAGCCAGGGGAGCAAACGGG
rnacentral:rRNA from 1 species